AAAGAGCUCGUAGGCGGUCUGUCGCGUCGGCUGUGAAAACUCAGGGCUCAACCCUGAGCCUGCAGUCGAUACGGGCAGACUAGAGUCCGGCAGGGGAGACUGGAAUUCCUGGUGUAGCGGUGAAAUGCGCAGAUAUCAGGAGGAACACCGGUGGCGAAGGCGGGUCUCUGGGCCGGAACUGACGCUGAGGAGCGAAAGCGUGGGGAGCGAACAGGAUUAGAUACCCGUGU
rnacentral:rRNA from 1 species